GGCCUCCUACGGGGCGCAGCAGUGAGGAAUAUUGGUCAAUGGCCGCAGGGCUGAACCAGCCAAGUCGCGUGAGGGAUGACGGUCCUAUGGAUUGUAAACCUCUUUUGUCAGGGAGCAAAGGGCGCCACGUGUGGCGCUUUGCGAGUACCUGAAGAGAAAGCAUCGGCUAACUCCGUGCCAGCAGCCGCGGUAAUACGGAGGAUGCGAGCGUUAUCCGGAUUUAUUGGGUUUAAAGGGUGCGCAGGCGGAAUGUCA
rnacentral:rRNA from 1 species